UACGUAGGUGGCGAGCGUUGUCCGGAAUUAUUGGGCGUAAAGGGCGCGUAGGCGGCCUGGCAAGUCAGAUGUGAAACCCCCAGGCUUAACCUGGGGCAUGCAUUUGAAACUGCUGGGCUUGAGUGCAGGAGAGGUAAGUGGAAUUCCUAGUGUAGCGGUGAAAUGCGUAGAUAUUAGGAGGAACACCAGUGGCGAAGGCGACUUACUGGACUGUAACUGACGCUGAGGCGCGAAAGCGUGGGGAGCAAACAGG
rnacentral:rRNA from 1 species